AGUGAACGCUGGCGGCAGGCCUAACACAUGCAAGUCGAACGGCAGCACAGCAGAGCUUGCUCUGUGGGUGGCGAGUGGCGGACGGGUGAGGAAUACGUCGGAAUCUGCCUAUUUGUGGGGGAUAACGUAGGGAAACUUACGCUAAUACCGCAUACGCCCUACGGGGAAAGCGGAGGACCUUCGGCGUUCGCGCAGAUAGAUGAGCCGACGUCGGA
rnacentral:rRNA from 1 species